GAUGAACGCUGGCGGCGUGCCUAAUACAUGCAAGUCGAGCGAACAGAUAAGGAGCUUGCUCCUUUGACGUUAGCGGCGGACGGGUGAGUAACACGUGGGUAACUUACCUAUAAGACUGGAAUAACUCCGGGAAACCGGGGCUAAUGCCGGAUAACAUGUUGAACCGCAUGGUUCUACAGUGAAAGGCGGCUUUGCUGUCACUUAUAGAUGGACCCGCGCCGUAUUAGCUAGUUGGUGAGGUAACGGCUCACCAAGGCAACGAUACGUAGCCGACCUGAGAGGGUGAUCGGCCACACUAGAACUGAGACACGGUCCAGACUCCUACGGGAGGCAGCAGUAGGGAAUCCUCCGCAAUGGGCGAAAGCCUGACGGAGCAACGCCGCGUGAGUGAUGAAGGUCUUCGGAUCGUAAAACUCUGUUAUUAGGGAAGAACAAAUGCGUAAGUAACUGUGCGCGUCUUGACGGUACCUAAUCAGAAAGCCACGGCUAACUACGUG
rnacentral:rRNA from 1 species